GCCAGGCGUGAUGGUGAGUACCUGUAGUCCCAGCUUCUCGAGAGGCUGAGGUAGAAGGAUUGCUUGAGCCCAGGAGUUCUGGGCUGUAGUGCCCUAUGCGGAUUGGGUGUCCGCACUAAGUUCAGCAUCAGUAUAGUGACCUCCUGGGAGCAGGGGACCACCAGGUUGCCUAAGGAGGGGUGAACUGGCCCAGGUCGGAAAUAGAGCAGGUCAAAACUCCGGUGCUGAUCAGUAGUGGGGUCAAGCCCAUGAAUAGCCACUGUACUCCAACCUGGGCAGCAUAGCAAGACCCCAUGUCU
rnacentral:SRP_RNA from 1 species